rnacentral:rRNA from 1 species
GAGUUUGAUCGUGGCUCAGAUUGAACGCUGGCGGCAUGCCUUACACAUGCAAGUCGAACGGCAGCACGGGAGCUUGCUCCUGGUGGCGAGUGGCGAACGGGUGAGUAAUGCAUCGGAACGUAUCCUGGAGUGGGGGAUAACGUAGCGAAAGUUACGCUAAUACCGCAUAUUCUGUGAGCAGGAAAGCGGGGGACCUUCGGGCCUCGCGCUCUUGGAGCGGCCGAUGUCGGAUUAGCUAGUUGGUGAGGUAAAGGCUCACCAAGGCGACGAUCCGUAGCAGGUCUGAGAGGAUGAUCUGCCACACUGGAACUGAGACACGGUCCAGACUCCUACGGGAGGCAGCAGUGGGGAAUUUUGGACAAUGGGGGCAACCCUGAUCCAGCCAUGCCGCGUGAGUGAAGAAGGCUUUCGGGUUGUAAAGCUACUUUCGUCGAGGAAGAAAUUAGCACCGGACAA